GUUGUAUGGUUAAGUGACUAAGCGUACACGGUGGAUGCCUUGGCAGUCAGAGGCGAUGAAAGACGUAGUAACUUGCGAUAAGCCCAGAUUAGGUAGUAACAACCAUUUGAGUCUGGGAUUUCUGAAUGGGGAAACCCACUUACAUAAGUAAGUAUCAUUAACUGAAUACAUAGGUUAAUGAGGCGAACCGGGGGAACUGAAACAUCUAAGUACCCCGAGGAAAAGAAAUCAACCGAGAUUCCGAAAGUAGCGGCGAGCGAAAUUGGACUAGCCCUUAAGCUUUACACGCGUUAGACGAACGGUCUGGAAAGUCCGACGAUACAGGGUGAUAGUCCCGUAGUUGACGACGUGUGUUCAGUGAAAUCGAGUAGGGCGGGACACGUGAUAUCCUGUCUGAAUAUGGGGGGACCAUCCUCCAAGGCUAAAUACUACUGACUGACCGAUAGUGAACCAGUACCGUGAGGGAAAGGCGAAAAGAACCCCUGUGAGGGGAGUGAAAUAGAACCUGAAACCGUGUACGUACAAGCAGUAGGAGCAGGCUUGUCCUGUGACUGCGUACCUUUUGUAUAAUGGGUCAGCGACUUAUAUUCAGUGGCAAGGUUAACCAUCUAGGGGAGCCGUAGGGAAACCGAGUCUUAACUGGGCGUUCAGUCUCUGGAUAUAGACCCGAAACCAGGUGAUCUAGCCAUGGGCAGGUUGAAGGUUGAGUAACAUCAACUGGAGGACCGAACCGACUAAUGUUGAAAAAUUAGCGGAUGACUUGUGGCUAGGGGUGAAAGGCCAAUCAAACCUGGAGAUAGCUGGUUCUCCCCGAAAGCUAUUUAGGUAGCGCCUCGGACGAAUACUACUGGGGGUAGAGCACUGUUAAGGCUAGGGGGUCAUCCCGACUUACCAACCCUUUGCAAACUCCGAAUACCAGUAAGUACUAUCCGGGAGACACACGGCGGGUGCUAACGUCCGUCGUGGAGAGGGAAACAACCCAGACCGCCAGCUAAGGUCCCAAAUUACUACUAAGUGGGAAACGAUGUGGGAAGGCUCAGACAGCCAGGAUGUUGGCUUAGAAGCAGCCAUCAUUUAAAGAAAGCGUAAUAGCUCACUGGUCGAGUCGGCCUGCGCGGAAGAUGUAACGGGGCUAAGUAGUAAACCGAAGCUGCGGCAAUGUGCUUUUGCACAUUGGGUAGGGGAGCGUUCUGUAAGCGGUUGAAGGUGUGUGGUAACGCAUGCUGGACGUAUCAGAAGUGCGAAUGCUGACAUGAGUAACGAUAAAGGGGGUGAAAAACCUCCUCGCCGGAAGACCAAGGGUUCCUGUCCAACGUUAAUCGGGGCAGGGUAAGUCGACCCCUAAGGCGAGGCCGAAAGGCGUAGUCGAUGGGAAACGGGUUAAUAUUCCCGUACUUCUUACAAUUGCGAUGGGGGGACGGAGAAGGCUAGGUGGGCCUGGCGACGGUUGUCCAGGUUCAAGUGCGUAGGCUUAAGAGUUAGGUAAAUCCGGCUCUUUUUAAGGCUGAGACACGACGUCGAGCUANNNNNNNNNNNNNNNNNNNNNNNNNNNNNNNNNNNNNNNNNNNNNNNNNNNNNNNNNNNNNNNNNNNNNNNNNNNNNNNNNNNNNNNNNNNNNNNNNCGCGGAUGGAGCUGACGAGAGUCGCAGAUACCAGGUGGCUGCAACUGUUUAUUAAAAACACAGCACUGUGCAAAAUCGUAAGAUGACGUAUACGGUGUGACGCCUGCCCGGUGCCGGAAGGUUAAUUGAUGGGGUUAGACUUCGGUCGAAGCUCUUGAUCGAAGCCCCGGUAAACGGCGGCCGUAACUAUAACGGUCCUAAGGUAGCGAAAUUCCUUGUCGGGUAAGUUCCGACCUGCACGAAUGGCGUAAUGAUGGCCACGCUGUCUCCACCCGAGACUCAGUGAAAUUGAAAUCGCUGUGAAGAUGCAGUGUACCCGCGGCUAGACGGAAAGACCCCGUGAACCUUUACUACAGCUUGGCACUGAACAUUGACCCUACAUGUGUAGGAUAGGUGGGAGGCUUUGAAGCAGGUACGCCAGUAUCUGUGGAGCCGUCCUUGAAAUACCACCCUUGUAGUGUUGAUGUUCUAACGUCGACCCCUAAUCGGGGUUGCGGACAGUGCCUGGUGGGUAGUUUGACUGGGGCGGUCUCCUCCCAAAGAGUAACGGAGGAGCACGAAGGUGGGCUAAUCACGGUUGGACAUCGUGAGGUUAGUGCAAUGGCAUAAGCCCGCUUGACUGCGAGAAUGACAAUUCGAGCAGGUGCGAAAGCAGGUCAUAGUGAUCCGGUGGUUCUGAAUGGAAGGGCCAUCGCUCAACGGAUAAAAGGUACUCCGGGGAUAACAGGCUGAUACCGCCCAAGAGUUCAUAUCGACGGCGGUGUUUGGCACCUCGAUGUCGGCUCAUCACAUCCUGGGGCUGAAGUCGGUCCCAAGGGUAUGGCUGUUCGCCAUUUAAAGUGGUACGCGAGCUGGGUUUAGAACGUCGUGAGACAGUUCGGUCCCUAUCUGCCGUGGGCGUUGGAAGAUUGAAGGGGGCUGCUCCUAGUACGAGAGGACCGGAGUGGACGAACCUCUGGUGUUCGGGUUGUGUCGCCAGACGCAUUGCCCGGUAGCUAAGUUCGGAAUCGAUAACCGCUGAAAGCAUCUAAGCGGGAAGCGAGCCCUGAGAUGAGUCUUCCCUGAUACUUUAAGUAUCCUAAAGGGUUGUCGGAGACUACGACGUUGAUAGGUCAGGUGUGUAAGUGCUGUGAGGCAUUGAGCUAACUGAUACUAAUUGCCCGUGAGGCUUAACCAUACAACACCCAAGGGGUUU
rnacentral:rRNA from 1 species